rnacentral:rRNA from 1 species
CUACGGGUUGCUCCAGUGAGGAAUAUUGCACAAUGGGGGGAACCCUGGUGCAGCAACGCCGCGUGGAGGAUGACGCAUUUCGGUGUGUAAACUCCUUUUAUAUGUCAAGAAAAUGACGGUAGCAUAUGAAUAAGCACCGGCUAACUCCGUGCCAGCGGCCGCGGUAAUACGGAGGGUGCAAGCGUUACUCGGAAUCACUGGGCGUAAAGGACGCGUAGGCGGGUUGGAAAGUCAGGUGUGAAAUCCUACAGCUUAACUGUAGAACUGCACUUGAAACUUCUAAUCUAGAGUAUGGGAGGGGGAGAUGGAAUUAGUGGUGUAGGGGUAAAAUCCGUAGAUAUCACUAGGAAUACCUAAAGCGAAGGCGAUCUCCUGGAACAUUACUGACGCUAAGGCGUGAAAGCGUGGGGAGCAAACAGGAUUAGAUACCCGGGUAGUC